rnacentral:rRNA from 1 species
UACGGGGGGGGUAAGCGUUGUUCGGAAUUACUGGGCGUAAAGGGCUCGUAGGCGGCCAACUAAGUCAUACGUGAAAUCCCUCAGCUUAACUGGGGAACUGCGUCCGAUACUGGUGGGCUCGAAUCCGGGAGAGGGAUGUGGAAUUCCAGGUGUAGCGGUGAAAUGCGUAGAUAUCUGGAGGAACACCGGUGGCGAAGGCGGCAUCCUGGACCGGUAUUGACGCUGAUGCGCGAAAGCCAGGGGAGCAAACGGG